rnacentral:rRNA from 1 species
AACUCUGAGCGGUGAGUCACUCGGCGUCGUGCGGUCGAAGUGAAGAGCGCAGCCCAACUGCGUGAAUUAGUGUGAAUUGCAGGAUAUCUUGAAGCAUCGACAUCUUGAACGCAUAUUGCGGCUCAGGUCUCCCCUGUGGCCACGCCUGGCCGAGGGUCG